AUUGAACGCUGGCGGCAUGCUUUACACAUGCAAGUCGGACGAGUGGCGAACGGGUGAGUAAUAUAUUGGCACGUACCGAGUAAUGGGGGAUAACCAAUCGAAAGAUUGGCUAAUACCGCAUAUUAUUCGAGCGGCCCAUAUCUGAUUAGCUAGCUGGUGGGGUAAAGGCCUACCAAGGCGACGAUCAGUAGCGGGUCUGAGAGGAGGAUCGGCCACACUGGGACUGAGACACGGCCCAGACUCCUACGGGAGGCAGCAGUGGGGAAUGUUGGACAAUGGGCGAAAGCCUGAUACAGCCAUGCCGCGUGUCUGAAGAAGGCCUUCGGGUUGUAAAGGACUUUUGUUAGGGAAGCGGGACCUAAAGAAUAAGCACCGGCUAACUACGGGCCAGCAGCCGCGGUAAUUC
rnacentral:rRNA from 1 species